ensembl:lncRNA
CUCUUUUCCACGAAGUGACAGAAGUUAUGAAGAUAUGCUUUAAGUGGCUGAUUUGCCCAACUCCCUUAUUUUGCAGAACGUCCUGCCAUAUUUGAAACUUACACUAUAAAAUCUUAUAGAAAGACAGUUCCUGAGUGUUAGCCUAAUAAAGCCACAUUUUUAUCUCUUAUGGGUUUUAGUUGCUAUUGGACGUUUCCUUCCUGGCCUCUAAGGACAUGUGAAGAAUAUCAGAGGAAGUCCUCAUCAGCUGAUGUUCAGAGAGGUUCCUACUUCCUCAGCUUCCUUCACACGGCUCCUUCUCAAGACAGCAUCAUUAAUCUACAUUGUCCCUUUCUUAUCAUGACUCUGCCAGUUUCUUAUCAUGUUUCUGCUGCCUGUCCUGCUGCCAGAGUAUCUUCAAACCUCUGACCAGUUAGCUACCUGCAUGCAGCACAACUCACACCCAGACUACAACUGCGGGGGACCUUGUACGUGUGCAGCACGGAGGUGUCAUCAGAUGGCACAGGUCCGGACACGCUGCUUCUCCCAGAAGACAGGAGGGACCGCCUGGGCGUAUUUGGACAACCAGCCGUGCUGCUAUCUCGCCAGUCCCGGUGCAGGGAGAUGCUCCGGAGCGCAUUGCGCUGUGUGAACAACGCCCACAGUAUUCUGCCCUUGGCACCAGCAGCUGGAGAAGAAUGGGAGAGCUGCACCGGCUUUCCCACAAUGAGCUCCUCAGAGCUGGGCAGAGAAUAGCGUUCUGUCUAGUGGAGAAGCUCGGAAUUUAUUUCAGCUCAGUUUGGGACUCACACGGUUUCUAGAAAUUCUCUUUAAAUACAGUUUUGGAAAGAGAUUAAAAUGUAGGCUUUUGAACCAAGAAGCUUGGGCAGCCCAAGCCAACUGCCUUCCCCAUGAAUUUGGAGGUGUGGAAGGCUUUGGCUGUGAAGCUGCCAAUCUCUGAACCACCGCACUGGAUUAGAGAGUUUGGGUAUCUUUGUUUCUCUCCUUCAGUCAAGGACUGAUUUCUGGGGCUGCUCAGCUCUAUCUGAAGAACCUGCAUUUCCAGAGCAGCCACUGACAAAGUGGGCACAGGCCUUGGCCAAUUCUGAAAAUCUUGACUCAGACUCUUCAGAGGUUGUCCAAGAAGUACGUAUGUUUCUCAAUGUUUGGAAAAAAUAAUUAUUUAUAGGCUCACCCAGAACACCGAAUACUUUACUGGAUAUUUCAUGUGUGAGUUGGUUCACAGGAGUCUGGUGUGACUGGAUGUACUACACAAAUUACAGACACACCCUGAACUUGAAAUACUCCUAUUUUACCAGAGCCAAUCAUAUUUCCAUGUUUGUUUGUCAUAAUAUGUAUCUAAUAACUGAAUGUGUGCUGAUGGCACAUUCCUAGUAACCUAAAACAUUAUCAAAAACACAGGGCUAUCUCCAGCUGCAGACCCUGUUUGUGACAGCAGUGUUUACUAUUGAAUCACAAACCACAGAAAACAGUGAUUUGCACAAGAACGGCUAAUGCAUAAGAAGUGUGGUGAACUUUGCUUUUGCACAGGAAGAGGGAAGGAAGAAAAACAUAUUUAUCUCACUCGUGGCUAAACGAUAGUGCAAACCAGUAAUUAUGUGUAAAUUAUGACCUUGCCCCCUUGCAGUCAGCUCCUCAGUAAACACGACCACAUUUGAUUUCCAUCCCCUCAGCAGUCCAAAGCGUGAUACAUGCAUCAUUGUUUUCAGAGCUAGUUCAAUGCUUCUCUUGAGAUUUUUUUUCAAUGACAACCUAUAUUUUUAGAGAUCAAGAUCUUAAAUGAAAAGCUGGGCUUUCCCAGGUCUGGAGGAUUGUCACUGAAUUAUAAAACUUUGACAGUGUAAUAUUAGCUUUUAUAAAUUUUGAUCUUUCCUUUCACACUUUUCUAUAGCUAAAAGACAUUAAAUAUAAGUUUAAAAAUUAUUUUUAUUUUUAAAUAUAUACAUGUUUUUCAUUUUCAUUCAAUAUUUUGUAAUAUUUUCAAACCUGGACAAAUGUUGAACAAUUGAAGAAAACGAAGUGAUAAAAUAAACCCCUAACUUGGAUAUCA